rnacentral:lncRNA from 1 species
UGGGCUAUGUUUUCGUUUUCUUUUGAAUAUAGUUUUUCGUAAAAUUUCUUUUCAAUUUGAAGUAUUUCACUUUGAUCUGUAACAAUAUUUCCUUGGUCAUCUUUUAGUUUUAUUAUUGUUUUUUUUGUUUGUUUAUUUUUUUCUAGGCCUAAAAAGUAAGCUGUAUUUUUUUCGCCUUUUUCUACCCAAUCUUGUUUAGACCUUAAUUGGGCGCCCUUAGCUUUAUAUUCAUAAUGUGUUUCUAGCUGAUUUUCAAUUUGAUUUAUUUUUUGCAAAAUAUCAUUAUUUUCAUUUUUUUGGUAUUUUUCAGUUAAGAGUGUUAAUUUUUUUUCCAUUUGCUUUAUUUCGUUAUUUUUAUUGUAAGCUCUACUUUUGCAAUAAUUUAUUGUAAAUAGUUUAAUAUCAAGUUUAAUCGCGUCCCAAAGAAGAUGCACAUCCGUAGUUGUGUCUUGCAUGAUAGUUUUAUAUUUUGCAAUUAUUGUUUCUAUUUCUUUACAAUAUUCAUUUUCUUCUAAAAUAGAAUUAUUUAAUUUCCAGUAUCCUGGACCUUUACUUUCGGCCGUUACGCUUUGUAAUUUAAGAGAUACGCCUUGGUGGUCUGUGCUUUUUAUUAAUGCGGGUCUUAUAUCGCUUGAUUUUGUAUUGAGCACAAAAUCUUUAUUAAUUAAAAAGUAAUCAAUUCGACUUGCUUGACUGAAGUUUUGUCUUUUCCAGGUAAACUGUACUUUUUUCGGAUUUAAAUAUCUCCAUAUAUCGAUUAGAUUGUGUGUUUUAAUUAAAGAUUUUAAACUGUUUACUGGUUUUAUAUUUUUUCGUUUUCCAUUAGUAAGUUUUCUAUCUAAGUUUGACAAUGCAUCGUUCAUGUCGCCGCCUAGUAUUACUGUUCCAAUUGCAUAAUUACUUAUGAAAUCAGAGAGAUUUUUAAAGAACUUGUUUCUUUCCGUUUCUAUGUUUGCGGCAUAUAUGUUAAUGAGCGAAUAAAUUAUGUUUUCUAUUUCUAUAUUUAACAUUAGUAUUCUACCGUCUUUGUCUUUGUUUUCAUUAAUUACUUUACAUUCUAA